rnacentral:rRNA from 1 species
GAACGGAUCGCAUUAUGACCUUUUGGUCGGCGAUGGAUCAUUCAAGUUUCUGACCUAUCAGCUUUCGACGGUACUGUAUUGGACUACCGUGGCAGUGACGGGUAACGGGGAAUUAGGGUUCGAUUCCGGAGAGGGAGCCUGAGAAACGGCUACCACAUCUAAGGAAGGCAGCAGGCGCGCAAAUUACCCAAUCCUGACUCAGGGAGGUAGUGACAAGAAAUAACAACACUGGAAAUUAUAUUUCUAGUGAUUGGAAUGAUGGGAAUCCAAACCCCUUUCAGAGUAACAAUUGGAGGGCAAGUCUGGUGCCAGCAGCCGCGGUAAUUCCAGCUCCAAUAGCGUAUAUUAAAGUUGUUGCAGUUAAAAAGCUCGUAGUUGGAUAUCUGCUGGGAGCAGCCAGUCCGCCUUAACGGGUGUGCACUUGGUGAAUUCUGGCAUCCUCCUGAUUGGUGUCAUCAUCACUUCAUUGUGUUGGUGGCAGCUGUCAGGACUGUUACUUUGAGAAAAUUAGAGUGUUUCAAGCAGGCUUGUUGCCUUGAAUACUGCAGCAUGGAAUAACAAGAUAGGAUUUCGGUUCUAUUUUGUUGGUUUCUAGGACUGAAGUAAUGAUUAAUAGGGACAGUUGGGGGCAUUCGUAUUUAACUGUCAGAGGUGAAAUUCUUAGAUUUGUUAAAGACGAACUACUGCGAAAGCAUUUGCCAAAGAUGUUUUCAUUAAUCAAGAACGAAAGUUAGGGGCUCGAAGACGAUCAGAUACCGUCGUAGUCUUAACCAUAAACUAUGCCGACUAGAGAUAGGAAAAUGUCAUCCUUGACUUCUCCU